rnacentral:lncRNA from 10 species
AGAGGAAAAAGAAGUCAAUCAAGUACUGCUUGAGAAACUAUUUACUCAUCGUAUUAGAUGUUUGGGGGAAUGAGAUACAAAAAACAAGGCUUACAGUCUAACUGGGGAGAGAAAACCUAUACCCAUGAAAAGCAAUGGCCUGUAGAAUGCAAGUGCCUUACACGUCUUAGUCACCCUUUACCCCCAGGGCAUAGCAUAAAAUAUGUGUUCAGUAAACACUGUUAAAAAAAAAAUGCUGUCUUGGUCAUCUUUGUCACUCCAGCAUCUAGCCAAGUUCCUAAUGCAAUGUUUGCUGAAUGAAUGAAUGAUACCAUGCUGUUCACAUAAAUAUGUCUUGCAUGACUUAGGUUAAGAAGAUGGGGAUCAUUAAGGACUAAAGUAAUCAAGAAAGAUUUCAUUGGGAAGACAAAGUUUUGAGUUAUGAAAUCUUAGAGCUGAAAGAAAUCUUAAAGUAUUACUAAGA